UACGGGGGGGGUAAGCGUUGUUCGGAAUUACUGGGCGUAAAGGGCUCGUAGGCGGCCAACUAAGUCAUACGUGAAAUCCCUCAGCUUAACUGGGGAACUGCGUGUGAUACUGGAUGGCUUGGAUUUGGGAGAGGGAUGCGGAAUUCCAGGUGUAGCGGUGAAAUGCGUAGAUAUCUGGAGGAACACCGGUGGCGAAGGCGGCAUCCUGGACCAAUAUUGACGCUGAGGUGCGAAAGCGUGGGGAGCAAACAGG
rnacentral:rRNA from 1 species